GAUGAAGAACGUAGCGAAAUGCGAUAAGUAAUGUGAAUUGCAGAAUUCAGUGAAUCAUCGAAUCUUUGAACGCACAUUGCGCCCGCCAGUAUUCUGGCGGGCAUGCCUGUUCGAGCGUCAUUUCAACCAUCAAGCCCCCGGCUUGUGUUGGGGACCUGCGGCUGCCGCAGGCCCUGAAAACCAGUGGCGGGCUCGCUGUCACACCGAGCGUAGUAGAUUUUCAUCUCGCUCAGGGCGUGCUGCGGGUUCCGGCCGUAAAAAGCCUUAUUUACCCAAGGUUGACCUCGGAUCAGGUAGGAAGACCCGCUGAACUUAAGCAUAUCAAUAAACGGAGGA
rnacentral:misc_RNA from 1 species